UACAGAGGUCUCAAGCGUUGUUCGGAAUCACUGGGCGUAAAGGGUGCGUAGGCCGCACGGAAAGUCAGAGGUGAAAUCCCGGAGCUCAACUCCGGAAUUGCCUCCGAUACUCCCGUGCUUGAGGACUGGAGAGGAGUCUGGAAUUCACAGUGGAGCAGUGAAAUGCGUAGAUAUUGUGAGGAACACUAGUGGCGAAGGCGAGACUCUGGACAGUUCCUGACGCUGAGGCACGAAGGCCAGGGGAGCAAACAGG
rnacentral:rRNA from 1 species